rnacentral:ncRNA from 1 species
AUAAUGAUACUCCCGUCCAGUCACAGUUCGAGCGUGAUAAAACCGUCGCAAACGAUGAGGGCGGCUCUGACAGAUCGUCAGCUGGGGUGAAACUCCCGUG